UUUCGGAUCGUAAAACUCUGUUGUUAGGGAAGAACAAGUGCCGUUCGAAUAGGGCGGCGCCUUGACGGUACCUAACCAGAAAGCCACGGCUAACUACGUGCCAGCAGCCGCGGUAAUACGUAGGUGGCAAGCGUUGUCCGGAAUUAUUGGGCGUAAAGCGCGCGCAGGUGGUUUCUUAAGUCUGAUGUGAAAGCCCACGGCUCAACCGUGGAGGGUCAUUGGAAACUGGGGAACUUGAGUGCAGAAGAGGAAAGUGGAAUUCCAAGUGUAGCGGUGAAAUGCGUAGAUAUUUGGAGGAACACCAGUGGCGAAGGCGACUUUCUGGUCUGUAACUGACACUGAGGCGCGAAAGCGUGGGGAGCAAACAGGAUUAGAUACCCUGGUAGUCCACGCCGUAAACGAUGAGUGCUAAGUGUUAGAGGGUUUCCGCCCUUUAGUGCUGCAGCUAACGCAUUAAGCACUCCGCCUGGGGAGUACGGUCGCAAGACUGAAACUCAAAGGAAUUGACGGA
rnacentral:rRNA from 1 species